rnacentral:lncRNA from 1 species
GUGUUGUAAAAAGCGCAUUAAGCGGCCGAUUAAGCGGCCGCCUAAGCGGAAUCGGCCCUAAAGCGCUUCGAUUUUGUAUUAAGCGGAAAAUUAAGCGUUUUUGAAAAUUAAGCGGACAAUUAAGCGGAUUAAGCGGUCGUUAAGCGGAUUAAGCGGUAAUUAAGCGGUCAAAAUGAUGUUGACUUGCUAAUUUUUUUUAAAUUUUUUGUUUGAAAUAUUAAUUUUUUUAAUAAUAUAACUAUAAUUAUAUUAUAAAAUUUAAAAAAAAAUAUUUUAUCAAAAAUAUUAAAAAUGCAUAUUCUUAACACAACAUAAUAUUAUUUUUAAAUAUAUUAAUAUUAUAACUAAAUAUUUAAUUAUAUUUAAUUAAUCCGCUUAUUGACCCGCUUAAAAUUCCGCUUAAGCGUCCGCUUUACCGCUUAAGCGCUAGAAGGUCCUCCUGCCGCUUAGAACCGAUUUGCGCUUUUCACAACACUGG